GCCUGUUCUGCUGUGUCUUAUCAAUUCUUACGUGUCAGAAAGUCCAUCUAAACAGGCCACAGCUGGAUGAGGCCUUGGAAAACUUCAGUUUGAAAGCAAGGCUUGAUGCUACACCCGCUGCUUCUGGACUGUUGGGUUUUUAGUGCAGCCUCAGGCCUUAAGCUGGGAGAUGGGACUGCAGAGGGGGUUGCUGGUGAUAAAGAUGUUGAUGACCACUGGGACCUCACAAUGCAGAAUUGUAGAGUUCCAAAAAUAUGCUCAGAUUCCCUCAGCAGUAACAAGCUUUAGCGGAUCAACCUGAUUUCCUUGAGACUGGUAAAGAGACAAGGAUUAUGCGUGUUUGAUGUACACCCAGAAAACCCCACCAAACUGAUAAAUGAGGAACGUUUACUGCAAGCAUGUUAAAUGUUUAUGAACAGGAAACAAAAUACUGACUUAAAAGCUGGUAAGGUCCCCAAGCCGCUGCAUAGAGCUGGUGGGUUGAAGAGGCUGUGGAAAAUAAUGGCAAAUAGGUCUUUCAGAUGCUGCUGGAUUGUUGGUCCUCUUCAGAUGGAUACUUUACCUGUAUGUUGGUGAGAAGUAAAGCAAGGAGGUGUGAUCCCAUCAGCGCACAGAGGAGCCUGGCUUUGGUGGUGUGUGCUUGGAUGUUAAUACGUUCUUGUUAACAAGUUAUUACUUGACAAAUUACACCAAACUGAGCAUUUCAAAGCAGUUCUUGUCAUGAAUCAUAGCACCUGCAGCAGACCCAAGAAUUCAGCUCCUUGUAUGUAGUGUUUCCUGUUUGUCAAGUGCGCCUUUUAACAGAUGAUAUCUAGUCAUAAGUUCUAAACUGAUAUCUCCAAUCUCUCCAACCACAGAUUUAGCAGUAGUGAUAAAGGAGAAUUUGCAAAGCAUGACACAUGCUUUUCUUGCAAAGGCUGUAUUUCUUCUACAUGUUACCAUGAUUUCAAGCAUUCCCCUAUGGUAUAAGAAGUUUAAUCAGCUUCAAACAGCGAAGAAUCAUUCUCCAAGCAUUGGAGCUGGUGUUUUAUACAGCUACUCUGUGUAAAGCAGCCUUCAGAUUUCCUCACAAAGUGCACCCUGUUUUGAGGAUAUUCCUACUCUGCAAGUUCUGAGCGGUGUUUGGGGGCAGGAGGGGACCUGUAACUUCAGGAGCUUAUAAAGAACUAAAUGUAAUAAUAAUUUGCAAUACCAGGACGAGCUGCUUCUAGUUUGUGGGCAACUGUGAAGUUUAUGUACUUUAUAGCUUUUGUUUUAUUGUCCCCUUAAAGCUGCUGCCUUGUAUUUAAUGUUGAGUGAAACUGUCCCGUUGGAGUUUUGUAUAUGUUUUUCCAAAGACGUUAAGGAGUCUCAGCUCAGCAGCAGAUUUAUUUAUUUAUAUAGUGCUUGACGUUAGUGCUUUUCCUGAGGCAAAUGUAAAUCUGCAAUGGAAAUGCUUUCUAAAGCCUGGGUUGUUUGCUGAAAUGGUGUGAGCACAAGUAGAUUGCCGGUGGCAUUUCCUCUCUGACUUUCAUCCCCAGAUGAAAUCUUUGGUCACCAAUAGAUUCUGUUAAGGUAAAUUGCUUUAUUUCUAUUUCAGUGUGUGUCUGUUAGCAGCGUGGAGGAUCUAAAGUCCCAUCAUACGAGUGUUUUGCAGAGAAAGGGAGCAGUUUUGCUAUUUAUAUGCAUGGCUUUUCUUACAGAAAGUGCACAGUUGUCUGUUUGAGUUAGGUUUUCAACAUGAUCGUUGAGGUGAUGAAGAGCCAAACCAGGAGAACAAACUUGCUGCAUCCCACAGGAGAAACUGGAGGCUUGGUCACUGCUGGUCGGUAUUGUGCACGAAUUCUGUACUGAGGUUUUGGGUGGGACUGUACACAGAGAAAGGCAAUGGCUCAACCAUGUCCCGUGCCCUCUCUUCACCAAAACUAAGGGAAAUGUUAGUUGUUAAUGACUGAUGCCUUUCUUCUCCUUUUUGGCUUUAAAAACUUCAAAGUCAGAAUAGCUUUACACAUAUAAAGUUGCUCCAAAACACAGGGUAACUUUUGGAACUGAUGUGUAUUUUGCUUUUGUGGAGUGGGGAGAAAAGUUACUCAUGGCUCAAAUAUUGCUGGUUUUCAAGUUUUGCAUUUUACAGCUCUAAUGUCAGGCAGUGUUUCUGAGAGUCCACGUGUUUCGACAUCCUCCCCUGCCUUCCAUUUGGAGCUGAGAAGUUUUAAUUUGUAUGUUAGCCAGGAAAAGGUUUGCAUGGCAGAAUUGUAGCAACAUCAGAACACUACAGUAGGUGACUGAGUGCUAGGAAAGAACCAUACUUUUAGUUGGUACACUUACAUCAUUAAUAGGAUAAAACGUGAAUGCUCUUUUAAAUAGUCAGAAUCCAGUAACAGAAUUAAGCUGCUUCAGUUGGAGUCUAGAAAACCCUUCCACGUGAUCAACUCCAUUACUUGGAAAAAGAGCAGGUCAAGCCAUUAAUUUGUAAAUGCUUGUUAAUAGUUUUUACAACCUCACCCACAAUGUAGAUGCUUUAGAGCUGAUGAAAACUAGCAGCAAAAGGGCUGAAAAAUACUCAGUUAUCUUUCCAUUGCCAGCACUGUAGAACUCAAUCACAGUACAAAGUCUGUAAAUAUAACUGGAAGGAUUUCUCCUUUUGUGCAUGCAGAACUUCUGCUGUUCUGUGGUUCAGCAAAAGGCACUGGUCUGAAAUCACCAUUUCCUGGUGACUGUCUGCCUUGGGAAACUGUGAUGUGGAGAGAGUUAAGCUGUGGAGGUGGAAACACGUGUUGCUGCAGAGGAACACCAUGGGCCCAGUGCUGUCCUGCAGGGAGGGCUGGGGAGCAGCCGGACCCAUCACAUCUGCCUAGGGUUUGGGCCACCAUCAGCAACAUGAGGCAUCAGAUGGACUUGCUGGCAACCAUCACAGUUUUGGGAGUCCUGUAGCAAAGUCCUUUGAGUGACGGCCUCUCCACCCUGGGCUUCAGGAGGGUCAUGGAAGGGGACAUUCCUUCUGCUUGGGGUGGCGACAGAGCCCCCAUUUUACUAAAAUCUUCCCAUUUCAACAAGGCAAGCCUAUUUCGCACUGCAGGUGAUCCAUGCCCGAUGGCAGUACAGGAUCUCCCCUCCCAGGACAACAGGUCACCCUGAAUUUGAGCUGGUCUUCAGAGCUCAGGUGAAUUGCUCAGAGUACUUCCCAAUCUUCACCUGGCUCCUCUGGGUUGCUGGACUCUUCUUCCAUCAAGGUGAUGGGGAUGAAUCACAACAUGCACAAAGCAAAAAGCCCAGUUAAAAUCCCAUUGUGACUCAGGUGUGUCCCCUCUGCACCCAUGACAUCGUUACUUGGGUAAUGCAGUCCCCUUUGCCCAGACAGACCAACGGGGCCCAACCCCAAUGUGCAUAAACCUGCUGGGUAGCAACUGAGAAAUCCCGCUGGGGAUGCUCUGCCCCAUCGGGACUCGGUCCCAUCUCCCCACAGCUGUGGCUGCGGCGUGCGGGCUGCUCUGCCUCUACACCCACCUCAGGUACUUCCAGGGAUACGCUGCGGCUGCGCAGGGACGGUGAGUACCCAGCUGGGGCUGUGGCAGCCCCAAACCCACCGAGGGAGCUGGGUGUGGGAUGCAGCCCUGGGGCAGGUUUCCUUACCACAGGUGGGACCAAAGGCAGGUUUUACACCUUUCUCCUCCUCUCCUGUCCCUAUGUGCUUGUGGCCUCCUCCCUGGCUCGGGAGGGUGCAGUAUGCUUCAUGCCCUGGGUCUGUUGGUGGUGUCUGACGGUGUUUCUCCCUGUGCAGGUUGGACUCAUUGUAUGCCAGUGCCCGGGUGCUGGGGCUGCUGCUGGGGCUGGCGGUGCCCAGGCUCCUGGCACACUUCCUGCUCCCCUGCUGCUCCCCAUGGAUGGCAGUGCUGGUGCGGCCCCUCCAGCAC